GUUCAGAAAUAUGCAACAAAUAUUACAACAAGGUGUCUAGAAAUUCGCUUACUGUGGUGUAUGUUAUUUGUGGAUAUAGCUGUGUCCCUUCCAAACCACCAGAAGACUCUAUGCUGAAGUAUGUCUGAUCUCCUUUAACAAAUGUAGAGUAUAUGAAAACCAACUCCAUAUUCUCAGGAUAUGGGGUAUCUCGGAUUUUCUUCAAGAGCUCAUCUUCAGUGAUGUAAAUCUUUUUUAGCGUCUUCUCAAUUUUUCCUUCCCAAAUCCCUACUAGCUCAUUCAUUGAAUACACAUUUCCCUUUGGCCUCAUGUAUACCACUUUGUUCAGAGUCCGUGCAUCGUCCACUGUAUUUAUGACAAAGGCAGCAACAUCAUUUUCGUUCAUAAAGACAGC
rnacentral:misc_RNA from 1 species